UUCAGUGUCAGUGCUCUCUGCUGCUCCCAGAGAGAAGCUGAUCACCGUUCCUGGAGUUACGGGAACAUCUGGAGAUGGAUUGAGUGUAGCUACUGGAGUGUUGUUCUUUGGACUUCUAAUGGGUUUAUGUAUCGUUUUCUGGCAAAGAAUGCAUCAGAAGAGGAAACUUCCAAUGGAGGAAAACCCUGAAAAACAAACCAGCAACAUUCAGGCUGAGGAACAGCUUGUGCCACAAAGGAACACUGAGGAG